CCACAAGUUGCGGGACGCGGGCCUACCGC
rnacentral:sRNA from 1 species